AUAUAAAUUGCCUGGGAAUCUCAUCAAAAUGCAGAUUGGGAUUCAGGAGGUCUGGAAUACGGCUUCAGUUCUGCAUUUUUAAUAAGUUUUCAAGUGAUAUAAAU
rnacentral:pre_miRNA from 1 species